UGGUGGAGUGAUUUGUCUGCUUAAUUGCGUUAACGAACGAGACCUCAGCCUGCUAAAUAGUUAUGCGAACGCUCAGCCCGGGUGAAGCGGGUGGGGCAGUGGCUGCCUUCGGGCGGUUGCACCCCAGCCGUGGAUCCUUGAUGCGUUCGUAGCGAUACUUCUUAGAGGGACAAUUGGUAUCAAGCCAAUGGAAGUUUGAGGCAACAACA
rnacentral:rRNA from 1 species